AACUUUAAGUGGAGGACAUUUCCCUCUUUUGUGCAUUUCUUUACAUUUUGCCACUGUCCGAAGAUUUUCUUUUGACAAAACCUAACCACGCCAGAAAUGUCAUAAAAUUAAGAUACAUUCAUCAAGGGGAUAUAUUUUUAAAAAGAACUUAAAUAUAGAAUAUAUAGACAUAAAUAAUAAGAUCAGUAUCGAUUUGACAUGUAGAUAUAUUUGAUGCAUCAAUUAAUUAUAAGCAAGGCAGUAUUAUAACCUUCUUUCCACGAGUUGUUCCCCAAUGUGAUUCCAUGCUACCAAGGUCAACGAUAAUGACUCGGUAGGAGUGGUGCAUCCACAUGAUUCAUGAAGCAUUUUCUUCAUUGUUUAUUUUGAUAAUCUGAAUACAAGUAGAUCAAUUUAAUCCCCACAAUAAUAGUUAUAAUAUGGGGUCAAACACCACACAAUUUGACUUUGGCAUAUAUAAUAUCAUUUAUAUUUAACAGUCUUACUUAUUAAACAUGAAUAAAUAUGUAUACACAAAGAUGUAUACAAAAACCUAUAUGGACCGCGUGCACACAAAAACUAAAAUGGUGUAGCUUAUAAGUUUAAAGAUAGAUUUACGACUGACAAUCACAUAUAAAGUAAGAUUAACUAUACCAAGUCCAAAUUUUAGAAUUUUUUCGAGAAAUGGAUUAAGAUUAUUGACCAUCAGCUUGAUAAUUUAUUAAAUAUCAAAUUAUCUCUAUAACAUAUUUGACGAAACAUAUAAAUGGGUCGCGUGAGAUCCACUUGUAUACCUUAAACACAUUUAUUUAUUUAUUUUCUUGAAAUUGCCAGAAACUCUUUAUUUGAAUAGUGAAACAGAACACUAAAACCCUCUUGAUUGAAAAACCAAAAGGUUGGACUUGUAUCACAAAAGAAAAAUGUAAUAACUCUCGGGUACAAUUGCUCAAAUACUAAAAUUAAGAAUUAAAUACGAAUCAAUAAAAAUCACCCUUUUAUGACAUGCUUGAGUAAUUAAUUGACUAAUAGCUACUUGAGAAUUUUAAGAUUACCUUGAGAGUUGUUAAUGGGAGUGACAUAUGAUUGGGGGUCGAGAACUUGAGAGAUUCACAAAAUUGACAGAAAGCUCAAAAGAGAUUUGGGCAGCGAGGGCUUCUAUGU
rnacentral:lncRNA from 1 species